rnacentral:rRNA from 1 species
ACCCGCUGAACUUAAGCAUAUCAAUAAGCGGAGGAAAAGAAACCAACAGGGAUUGCCCUAGUAACGGCGAGUGAAGCGGCAACAGCUCAAAUUUGAAAUCUGGCUCUUUUAGAGUCCGAGUUGUAAUUUGCAGAGGGCGCCUUGGCUUUGGCAGCGGUCCAAGUUCCUUGGAACAGGACGUCACAGAGGGUGAGAAUCCCGUACGUGGUCGCUGGCUAUUGCCGUGUAAAGCCCCUUCGACGAGUCGAGUUGUUUGGGAAUGCAGCUCUAAAUGGGAGGUACAUUUCUUCUAAAGCUAAAUAUUGGCCAGAGACCGAUAGCGCACAAGUAGAGUGAUCGAAAGAUGAAAAGCACUUUGGAAAGAGAGUCAAACAGCACGUGAAAUUGUUGAAAGGGAAGCGCUUGCAGCCAGACUUGCUUACAGUUGCUCAUCCGGGCUUUUGCCCGGUGCACUCUUCUGUAGGCAGGCCAGCAUCAGUUUGGGCGGUAGGAUAAAGGUCUCUGUCACGUACCUCUCUUCGGGGAGGCCUUAUAGGGGAGACGACAUACUACCAGCCUGGACUGAGGUCCGCGCAUCUGCUAGGAUGCUGGCGUAAUGGCUGU